AUUGAACGCUGGCGGCAGGCCUAACACAUGGAAGUCGAACGGUAACAGGAAGCAGCUUGCUGCUUUGCUGACGAGUGGCGGACGGGUGAGUAAUGUCUGGGAAACUGCCUGAUGGAGGGGGAUAACUACUGGAAACGGUAGCUAAUACCGCAUAACGUCGCAAGACCAAAGAGGGGGACCUUCGGGCCUCUUGCCAUCGGAUGUGCCCAGAUGGGAUUAGCUAGUAGGUGGGGUAACGGCUCACCUAGGCGACGAUCCCUAGCUGGUCUGAGAGGAUGACCAGCCACACUGGAACUGAGACACGGUCCAGACUCCUACGGGAGGCAGCAGUGGGGAAUAUUGCACAAUGGGCGCAAGCCUGAUGCAGCCAUGCCGCGUGUAUGAAGAAGGCCUUCGGGUUGUAAAGUACUUUCAGCGGGGAGGAAGGGAGUAAAGUUAAUACCUUUGCUCAUUGACGUUACCCGCAGAAGAAGCACCGGCUAACUCCGUG
rnacentral:rRNA from 1 species